UACGAAGGGUGCGAGCGUUAUUCGGAAUCACUGGGCGUAAAGGGUGCGUAGCCGGUAUGUUAAGUUUGUCGGUUAAGACUCUGGCCUAACCAGAGGGUUGCGAUGAAAACUGGCAAGCUAGAGGGUGAGAGAGAGAAGUGGAAUUCCCGGAGUAGCGGUAAAAUGCGUGGAUCUCGGGAGGAACACCAAUGGCGAAGGCAGCUUCUUGGCUCAUUCCUGACGUUGAGGCACGAAAGCGUGGGGAGCGAACAGG
rnacentral:rRNA from 1 species